rnacentral:rRNA from 1 species
CAGCCGCCACGGUAAUACGAAGGGGGCUAGCGUUGCUCGGAAUGACUGGGCGUAAAGGGCGCGUAGGCGGCGAUCAAAGUCAGGCGUGAAAUUCCUGGGCUCAACCUGGGGGCUGCGCUUGAUACUUGGUUGCUUGAGUGGGGAAGAGGGUCGUGGAAUUCCCAGUGUAGAGGUGAAAUUCGUAGAUAUUGGGAAGAACACCGGUGGCGAAGGCGGCGACCUGGUCCUUGACUGACGCUGAGGCGCGAAAGCGUGGGGAGCAAACAGGAUUAGAUACCCGCGUAGUCCCUGUCUCUUAUAC